GUGGACAUUGCUGGUCUCGUUGAAAACCUCGUACGCUGUAGGUUGGUUCAUUAUAUGUGAGGAUCUCAAGACUGCGGCUCUGGGAAUGUCACAACAAGCUUUUGUUAGCAUGCCUGAACAUCGCACAAAAGUCUUAGGCCGACUGUGCAAAGGACCUUGAGAACAUCACCACUCUACAGGAAGACACAGUCCAGUCAUGGGUGUCAGAAGUUCAGUAGUGGACGACAGGAAGGACUGAUGCAUGUACUGAGACGGGACGUGAGGGCCUACUCUGCGUGCUCAGAGUUCAAGCCCAGCAGGCUGCAGCGGGCCUGACAUAUUCUGGAACAGCAGCACAGUCUUUGGAUGACUCCUCUGAAGAUGAAAACAUGGCGAGGUACUUCUCCACUGAUGAAGAACUUUCUUCUCAAGAGAAGAGGUACAGGUGUGCCUCAGCUCAACAGUCCCUCCUGCAGCCUCCGCUCCUGAUGCUCCAUCACACCAAGGUGCAGAUCUGGAUUGACAGACCUUUCUCCAGAGCUGCCCCCUCCCUCUGGAACCCCCCUCUCCAAAACACAUUUUGUGGCGUUUUUAAAGUCUUAUUUGCAUGAGAAUUGUUAAUCAUAACAUUUCCAGCGGAUGCCUUAAUGUAAUGUU